rnacentral:rRNA from 1 species
AUGGCCUCCCGCUCGAGGACCCUGCGGCCUCAAGCCUCCCGUGCCCGAGCUCCUUCUCCUCUUCGAGCCGAGGCUCCAUGCAGCCUCGCGUCCCGCAGCUCGCCCGUCCUCGGAGCUCCCUGCCGCGGUGCUCCCCUUCUCCGUCGUCGCCCACCUCCAACCUCGACGCCGCCACCACGUCCUGACCGCGCCGCGCCCGAGGCCCUGCCUUCUCCUCGUCCGCAUCGACCGAAGCCAGCAGAUGAGCCCCGUCGCACCCUCUUCUUCCCCCGUUUUCCUCCUCUCUGUACCUCGUCUCUCUCUCGUUCUCUAUGUACCAGGAUCCAUGCCGCCUCGAUCCCCUUCGGCAGCAGCCUCGCCGCCAGCCUCCUGCCAUCGCCCAGAUCCGCAGCCGUCCCGCCGGAGUUCCUCGCGCCCUGCUGGCCUGCUUCGUCCUCUGCACCGCGCCUGCCCCCUGCCUCGAACUGCUGCUUCUGUUUUCUUCAGAAAACGAGAGCAGCGCUGCAUCGAGCGCCUGCUCGAUCCAUCCGCUCGCCCGCGUUGACCCGUCGCCCGCCAGCGUGGACAAGCCCCAGAUCCAGCGCCCCUGUGGGCCUCCCUUCCUGCCAGAUCUGGCCCUGUGGCCUGCCUUGGCCUCCUCACCGAUGGGCUGAAGCCCAUGGUGAGCGCCCCAGCGCCCCUCCUCGGCCCAGUCUCCUCCGCGGCCUGCCCCAGCAGCCCCAGCCAAGCCAGCCCCUCUCCACCGAACCGGGCCUUGGCCCAGGGUGA